rnacentral:rRNA from 1 species
CAGCCGCCACGGGAAUACGUAGGUGGCAAGCGUUGUCCGGAAUUAUUGGGCGUAAAGGGCUCGCAGGCGGUUUCUUAAGUCUGAUGUGAAAGCCCCCGGCUCAACCGGGGAGGGUCAUUGGAAACUGGGAAACUUGAGUGCAGAAGAGGAGAGUGGAAUUCCACGUGUAGCGGUGAAAUGCGUAGAGAUGUGGAGGAACACCGGUGGCGAAGGCGACUCUCUGGUCUGUAACUGACGCUGAGGAGCGAAAGCGUGGGGAGCGAACAGGAUUAGAUACCCCUGUAGUCCCUGUCUCUUAUAC